AUGGUGUACCGUCUUCCAGGAGGCCUCUCUGCCCGCUGCCCCCACCCCGGUCACUGGAUUGUGUCUCCCAGGUUCCCGUGGAUGAUGCUGGAUCUCAUCUACUCCCACAUCUGGGGGGGCUGGCACAGAAGGCUCUUGAACAAAUGGAUGUCUGACAGGUCUCCGCGGUCCAGCGCCGGGAGGGCACCCGGCCUCCCCCCUCCCCCGACUCCCCCAGCGAGGGGAGCAGGGGGCGCAGCGCGGGAGGGGCGCGGGGCGGCGGGGCCGCAGUGCGCGUGCGCGCCACCUCCCCGCCACCUCCCGGCUCCCCGGUCCCCGGUCCCCCGCGGAGCGCGACAGGUGCGCGUCGGGGCCGCGGCGGCUGUGCCCGCGUGGGCGCGGGCGAGGGACCCGGGCGGGCGGCGCCCCACGCCCCUCCUCCCUCCCUCCCGCCCUUUCUCCCGUGGCUGGUGGCAGGUGAGUGGGUGUCGAGGAACCGCCAGGCAGCGGAGAAAACAGGACGCCGCAGAAAUCAGAUUACUCACCUGCAGCUGCGACUACCCAGCGCUAAUAAAAGCUGAGCUUCCUGUUGUUUCUUUAUUACCACCCUCUGCCUCCCCCAGCCCGGCCCAGCUCCCAGCUGCAGCCAGGGCCCUAACUGAUGGCCAGAAACCAGCGCCGUCAGGGGCCGGGACCACUCUGCUGCCCGAAAUUCCACCACGUGUGCAGCGUGCCCCCAAAGUGGCCCUCCAUCACCUGCAGGAGAAUCACCUGGGGUGCUGGUUAACCAAGCAGGUCCCCAGACACUGCUUUGCACCUGCUGAAUCAGAAUCUCUACAAUUAGGGCCCAGGAGCCUGCGAGUUCAUAGCGAUCUCCGGUGA
rnacentral:lncRNA from 12 species